UACGUAGGGUGCAAGCGUUGUCCGGAAUUAUUGGGCGUAAAGAGCUCGUAGGCGGUCUGUCGCGUCGGCUGUGAAAACCUAGGGCUCAACUCUGGGCUUGCAGCCGAUACGGGCAAACUAGAAUUCGGUAGGGGAGACUGGAAUUCCUGGUGUAGCGGUGAAAUGCGCAGAUAUCAGGAGGAACACCGAUGGCGAAGGCAGCUCGCUGGGACGGUACUGACGCUGAGGCGCGAAAGCGUGGGGAGCAAACAGG
rnacentral:rRNA from 1 species